rnacentral:rRNA from 1 species
GAUGAACGCUGGCGGCGUGCCUAACACAUGCAAGUCGAACGGAAAGGCCCUGCUUUUGUGGGGUGCUAGAGUCGCGCACGGGUGUGUAACACGUGAGUAACCUUCCCUUGACUUUGGGAUAACUGCAGGAAACUGGGGCUAAUACCGAAUAGGUGCUCCUGCUGCAUGGUGGUGGUUGGAACGUUUCGGCGGUUGGGGAUGUACUUCCGGUUUAUCAGCUUGUUGGUGGAGUAGUGGCUUACCCAGGCUUUGGCGGAUAGCCGGCAUGAGAAGGUGACCGGCGACAUUAGGACUGAGAGAGGCAGCAGACUCCUACGGGAGGCAGCGGUGGGGAAUAUGGCACAGUGAUGGGGAGUCUGAUGCGGCAACGUCGCGAGCGGGAUGACGGCCUUGGGGUGGUGAACCGCUUUCACCUGUGACGAAGCGUGUGUGACGGUAAUGAGUAAAGAAGCACCGGCUAACUACGUG